rnacentral:rRNA from 1 species
UAGUCCGCGCUGUAAACGGUGGGUACUAGGUGUGGGGUCCAUUCCACGGGUUCCGUGCCGUAGCUAACGCUUUAAGUACCCCGCCUGGGGAGUACGGCCGCAAGGCUAAAACUCAAAGGAAUUGACGGGGCCCCGCACAAGCGGCGGAGCAUGCGGAUUAAUUCGAUGCAACGCGUAGAACCUUACCUGGGUUUGACAUGGAUCGGGAGUGCUCAGAGAUGGGUGUGCCUCUUUUGGGGUCGGUUCACAGGUGGUGCAUGGCUGUCGUCAGCUCGUGUCGUGAGAUGUUGGGUUAAGUCCCGCAACGAGCGCAACCCUUGUUCACUGUUGCCAGCACGUUAUGGUGGGGACUCAGUGGAGACCGCCGGGGUCAACUCGGAGGAAGGUGGGGAUGACGUCAAGUCAUCAUGCCCCUUAUGUCCAGGGCUUCACGCAUGGUACAAUGGCUGGUACAGAGAGUGGCGAGCCUGUGAGGGUGAGGGAAUCUCGGAAAGCCGGUCUCAGUUCGGAUUGGGGUUUGCAACUCGACCUCAUGAAGUCGGAGUCGCUAGUAAUCGCAGAUCAGCAGCGCUGCGGUGAAUACGUUCCCGGGGGUUGUACACACCGCCCGUCAAGUCAUGAAAGUUGGUAACACCCGAAGCCGGUGGCCUAACCGUUGUGGGGGAGCCGUCGAAGGUGGG